AUUAUGGCUCAGGAUGAACGCUAGCUACAGGCUUAACACAUGCAAGUCGAGGGGCAGCAUGUGGUUGCUUGCAACCAAUGAUGGCGACCGGCGCACGGGUGAGUAACGCGUAUCCAACCUUCCCCUUAGUAGAGGAUAGCCCGGCGAAAGUCGGAUUAAUACUCUAUGUUCUUCAAUGCGGACAUCUAAGUUGAAGCAAAGAUUUAUCGCUAAGGGAUGGGGAUGCGUCUGAUUAGGUUGCAGGCGGGGUAACGGCCCACCUGGCCUACGAUCAGUAGGGGUUCUGAGAGGAAGGUCCCCCACACUGGUACUGAGACACGGACCAGACUCCUACGGGAGGCAGCAGUGAGGAAUAUUGGUCAAUGGGCGCGAGCCUGAACCAGCCAAGUAGCGUGCAAGGACGACUGCCCUAUGGGUUGUAAACUGCUUUUAUCAGGGAAUAAAGUGAGGCACGCGUGCCUUUUUGUAUGUACCUGAUGAAUAAGGACCGGCUAAUUCCGUGCCAGCAGCCGC
rnacentral:rRNA from 1 species